ACAGUCCUGGAAACUGUUCAGUUGCAGAGCAGAUGCAAGCCAUUAAUGGCCAAGGAAGCAUCUCUUCCAGCUUCUUUGCAUGUCGAGGAUAAGAGCUGUCUUGAAAUAUAAACAAGAAAUGUUUCUGAACCUGGAGCUGGAAACCACAUCCACAGGGCUCCAACGUGCCUCGGUUUGGGCCAGCGGAUGGGUCCGCUCCCCAUUCCAGAAUGCCUUGGCCUCCUUCCACCCCCGAGGCCUCAUUUAUUCUUUUAAAAAAUGAUUUAGCCUUCGCAAGCUCAGCAUCUGCAGCCUCCUGAACAAUGAAGGAUUGUAAAGUGUGAGCUGGGGAAUGAGCGAAAAUCCUCACUUGGGUCAUAGUUGCUCAGCGGAACUAGGGGCUUGUUCUGAGGAGGCGCAAUUGGCAAAAGGGGGAACAGAAAGGCGUCUUCAAAAGUAAGAGCGUCUUUCCAACUGCCCCCCCCUCCACCCCGCAAAGUAGGGGACCAGUGAUGCUGAGGCUAGCUCUUUAAAUAAAUGGACUCCUUCUCCGCUCUCUUGGCAACAGCAGGGGUGUUUGUGCUCUGGGACGGAGAUCUCUAACCAGCUAUAUUUAUCUUGUAGCUGUACACACACACACACACACACACACACACACACACACAUUCGCGAGUGGUUCGUCAAUGAGAGUGGGGCAGUUGGCCAGAAGCCCGUGACUGCAGAAACUUUGUUUCGACCUCCCUUGACUUUCAGCUCCGAGUGCAGAUAACAGGGUCUUGCUGCAGAAGAGCAAGAGGCUGGCCCCCUGAGGAUUCCGGGAGGUAUUUCCUUGACUCCAGGGGAAGGGCAGGGGCUGGGUACCAGGUGCAAGAGGAGAUCCCUGAGUGGAAUGGAGUUCCCCAGAAGCCCCAGGCUUGCCACGGAAGAAGGUCUCAGGAGAUUAGAAGAAGAGGAAGAGGGUGAUAAUAGCAGCAAUGUGGUACCGCAGGAGCUGGACUGGCUGCAAAUGUACCUCAACCCGCUACCGGAUGGCUACAUGAAGGCAAAAUUCACUCUGUCAGCCUACCUGGCAUGCUGGCUCAUCCUGAAGCUCUGCAAGGCCACACUUUGAGAUGUUUCGUGCCACAUUAUUGUUGUCCAGGCCUGCUUGACGUCUUUGGAUCACUGGACCAGGAAUGAGGAAUACUUAAGUCUUUGGAUCACUGGACCAGAAAUGAGGAAUACUUAAGUUUAACAUCAUCCUCAAAAUUGUUUUUUAAAACUAUAUUAUUUAUUUAUUUAUUUUAAGGUCAUAUAUGUACAUUCAUUUUUUUUCCAAUAGC
rnacentral:lncRNA from 1 species